UAGUCCAAACCCUGAGACAUCAUGGAAGU
rnacentral:piRNA from 1 species